CCCUGGUUAGCUCAGCUGGUAGAGCGCUCCACUUGUAAUGGAGAGGUCCCGGGUUCGAUACCCGGACCAGGCG
rnacentral:tRNA from 1 species